rnacentral:rRNA from 1 species
UUAAGCAUAUCAAUAAGCGGAGGAAAAGAAACCAACAGGGAUUGCCCCAGUAACGGCGAGUGAAGCGGCAACAGCUCAAAUUUGAAAUCUGGCUUCGGCCCGAGUUGUAAUUUGCAGAGGAAGCUUUAGGCGCGGCACCAUCUGAGUCCCCUGGAACGGGGCGCCACAGAGGGUGAGAGCCCCGUAUAGAUGGACGCCUAGCCUGUGUAAAGCUCCUUCGACGAGUCGAGUAGUUUGGGAAUGCUGCUCUAAAUGGGAGGUAAAUUUCUUCUAAAGCUAAAUACCGGCCAGAGACCGAUAGCGCACAAGUAGAGUGAUCGAAAGAUGAAAAGCACUUUGAAAAGAGGGUUAAAUAGCACGUGAAAUUGUUGAAAGGGAAGCGCUUGUGACCAGACUUGCGCCGGGCGGAUCAUCCGGUGUUCUCACCGGUGCACUCCGCCCGGCUCAGGCCAGCAUCGGUUCUCGUGGGGGGACAAAGGUCCCGGGAACGUAGCUCCUCCGGGAGUGUUAUAGCCCGGGGCGUAAUGCCCUCGCGGGGACCGAGGACCGCGCUUCGGCAAGGAUGCUGGCGUAAUGGUCAUCAGCGACCCGUCUUGAAACACGGACCAAGGAGUCAAGGUUUUGCGCGAGUGUUUGGGUGUAAAACCCGCACGCGUAAUGAAAGUGAACGUAGGUGAGAGCUUCGGCGCAUCAUCGACCGAUCCUGAUGUUUUCGGAUGGAUUUGAGUAGGAGCGUUAAGCCUUGGACCCGAAAGAUGGUGAACUAUGCUUGGAUAGGGUGAAGCCAGAGGAAACUCUGGUGGAGGCUCGCAGCGGUUCUGACGUGCAAAUCGAUCGUCAAAUCUGAGCAUGGGGGCGAAAGACUAAUCGAACCAUCUAGUAGCUGGUUACCGCCGAAG